GACGAACGCUGGCGGCGUGCUUAACACAUGCAAGUCGAACGGAAAGGCCCUGCUUUUGUGGGGUGCUCGAGUGGCGAACGGGUGAGUAACCCGUGAGUAACCUGCCCUUGACUUUGGGAUAACUUCAGGAAACUGGGGCUAAUACCGGAUAGGAGCUCCUGCUGCAUGGUGGGGGUUGGAAAGUUUCGGCGGUUGGGGAUGGACUCGCGGCUUAUCAGCUUGUUGGUGGGGUAGUGGCUUACCAAGGCUUUGACGGGUAGCCGGCCUGAGAGGGUGACCGGCCACAUGGGGACUGAGAUACGGCCCAGACUCCUACGGGAGGCAGCAGUGGGGAAUAUUGCACAAUGGGCGGAAGCCUGAUGCAGCAACGCCGCGUGCGGGAUGACGGCCUUCGGGUUGUAAACCGCUUUCGCCUGUGACGAAGCGUGAGUGACGGUAAUGGGUAAAGAAGCACCGGCUAACUACGUG
rnacentral:rRNA from 1 species